rnacentral:tRNA from 1 species
GGAGGGGUGGCCGAGCGGACGAAGGCGCGGGCCUGGAGAGCUCGUAGGCGGGCACAAACCUGCCUCGUGGGUUCGAAUCCCACCCCCUCCGCCA